rnacentral:rRNA from 1 species
GACGAACGCUGGCGGCGUGCCUAAUACAUGCAAGUCGAGCGCAGGAAACUGACGGAACUCUUCGGAGGGAAGGCAGUGGAAUGAGCGGCGGACGGGUGAGUAACACGUAAGGAACCUGCCUCAAGGAUUGGGAUAACUCCGAGAAAUCGGAGCUAAUACCGGAUAGUUCAACGGACCGCAUGGUCCGCUGAUGAAAGGCGCUUCGGCGUCACCUUGAGAUGGCCUUGCGGUGCAUUAGCUAGUUGGUGGGGUAACGGCCCACCAAGGCGACGAUGGAUAGCCGAGCUGAGAGGGUGAUCGGCCACACUGGGACUGAGACACGGCCCAGACUCCUACGGGAGGCAGCAGUAGGGAAUCUUCCACAAUGGACGAGAGUCUGAUGGAGCAACGCCGCGUGAGUGAUGAAGGUUUUCGGAUGGUAAAACUCUGUUGUAAGGGAAGAACACGUACGAGAGGGAAUGCUCGUACCUUGACGGUACCUUACGAGAAAGCCACGGCUAACCACGUGCCAGCCGCCGCAGUAA